rnacentral:rRNA from 1 species
GACGAACGCUGGCGGCGUGCUUAACACAUGCAAGUCGAGCGGAAAGGCCCUUUCGGGGGUACUCGAGCGGCGAACGGGUGAGUAACACGUGAGUAAUCUGCCCCUGGCUUUGGGAUAGCCACCGGAAACGGUGAUUAAUACCGGAUACGACCACUUCUCGCAUGGGAUGGUGGUGGAAAGUUUUUCGGCCAGGGAUGUGCUCGCGGCCUAUCAGCUUGAUGGUGAGGUAAUGGCUCACGAUGGCUUCGACGGGUAGCCGGCCUGAGAGGGUGAGCGGUCACACUGGGACUGGGACACGGCCCAGACUCCUACGGGAGGCAGCAGUGGGGAAUAUUGGACAAUGGGCGGAAGCCUGAUCCAGCAACGCCGCGUGAGGGAUGACGGCCGUCGGGUUGUAAACCUCUUUCAGCAGGGACGAAGCGCAAGUGACGGUACCUGCAGAAGAAGCACCGGCCAACUACGUGCCAGCCGCCGCUGUAA